UCCGAAAAUUGCGGUAAGACAUGGUAAUUUCUAAACUAAAAACAAUAAGAAUCACUGUAUGUUCACAGUAAGUAAGUUCACAAUGUAUUUUUUUUUGUUCUGCUUCAUUUUGUUUCAUAGGAAGCCGUCCGUCGCCUGCACAACUCCGAGACGAAUCUCAGGCGCUAUGAUGCUGGGCAAGGACUGUGUUCGCCUUAUAAUGCGGCGGUCACAUCGUUUUUGGUCGGAGCUCUGCACGCAAGCCCGGAUUUACAUGGUGUUGACAACGAUGCCAUUGUGUCGCACUGCGUCACCGGCGUCUGUACAGUGGAUCAUGUUCGGACAGAAAGCCACCACCACAUGGCCCAGAGGUGGACAGACAUUUCAUCCCCUAGCUGCGCUUUUGAUAUAUUUUGUUAUUGCUUGUAAAUAUGUAUUUGCUUUUUUUUUUUUUUUUU